GAUGAACGCUGGCGGCGUGCCUAAUACAUGCAAGUCGAGCGAACGGACGAGAAGCUUGCUUCUCUGAUGUUAGCGGCGGACGGGUGAGUAACACGUGGAUAACCUACCUAUAAGACUGGGAUAACUUCGGGAAACCGGAGCUAAUACCGGAUAAUAUUUUGAACCGCAUGGUUCAAAAGUGAAGGACGGUCUUGCUGUCACUUAUAGAUGGAUCCGCGCUGCAUUAGCUAGUUGGUAAGGUAACGGCUUACCAAGGCAACGAUGCAUAGCCGACCUGAGAGGGUGAUCGGCCACACUGGAACUGAGACACGGUCCAGACUCCUACGGGAGGCAGCAGUAGGGAAUCUUCCGCAAUGGGCGAAAGCCUGACGGAGCAACGCCGCGUGAGUGAUGAAGGUCUUCGGAUCGUAAAACUCUGUUAUUAGGGAAGUACAUAUGUGUAAGUAACUGUGCACAUCUUGACGGUACCUAAUCGGAAAGCCACGGCUAACUACGUG
rnacentral:rRNA from 1 species